rnacentral:rRNA from 1 species
AUUGAACGCUGGCGGCAGGCCUAACACAUGCAAGUCGAACGAGUGGCGGACGGGUGAGUAAUGCCUGGGAAACUGCCUGAUGGAGGGGGAUAACUUCUGGAAACGUUAGCUAAUACCGCAUACCAUCGGAUGUGCCCAGAUGGGAUUAGCUAGUAGGUGGGGUAAAGGCUCACCUAGGCGACGAUCCCUAGCUGGUCUGAGAGGAUGACCAGCCACACUGGAACUGAGACACGGUCCAGACUCCUACGGGAGGCAGCAGUGGGGAAUAUUGGACAAUGGGCGCAAGCCUGAUGCAGCCAUGCUGCGUGUAUGAAGAAGGCCUUCGGGUUGUAAAGUACUUUCAGCGGGGAGGCGUUACCCAAAGAAGAAGCACCGGCUAACUCCGUGCCAGCAGCCGCGGUAAUAC